AGGCUCGUUGUUACCCAUUGCGGGAUGGAUGAUUGGAAUUGGUAUUUUGAUUUCCUGCCUCAAAAUGAAUGUUCACAUGAAGAUAUAAACAGAAAAAGAAGCCACUUCAUAUGUAAAGAAAAAGGAAGAUGCUUCCUCAAGAUCUCAAAAGCUCGGAUUCACACUCCUCAUCCUCCCAGAGAAGAGUGAGGAAGUCUUUCUCUCCCUGGAUGAAUCUCUUGGAUUCAUUUGAGAUGUCCUUCCCACACUUCUCAAGGUUUUUGGUAGUGUUUGCACAGAAAGCUGCCGUGGAUGCACCCUCUCUGAACUGGUGGCGGGCCUGUCCUGCCUGAGGGUGCUAUGCCCUGCACACUUUGCCUUGAAGAGCUCUGCAGCCCACAGCUCAGGCCCCCAUGCCAAUGCCACAUUCUGACUUCUGUGCAGAAGCCAGCCCCUCCAGAAGGCUAUGUAUUUAAAGUUUUCCAUCCCAGAAGAACGGCGGCUAGAUGAAGAUGCAUUUCAUCAACGCUGCAAGAAACAAAUAGCAAAACAAAACCCUGGCGCAAGAGAAUCACUUUCUCCAAAAGGAAGAAUAAGAGUGCCUGGGUGGCUCAAUCAGUUGAGCUUCUGACUUCAGCUCAGGUCAUGAUCUCAUAGCUCGUGUGUUCAAGCCCUGCGUGAGUCUCUGUGCUGAUAGCUCUGAGCCUGGAACCUACUUCAGAUUCUGUGUGUCUAUCUCUCUCUCUGUCCCUCCCUGCUCUCUC